rnacentral:rRNA from 1 species
GACGAACGCUGGCGGCGUGCUUAACACAUGCAAGUCGAACGGAAAGGCCCUGCUUUUGUGGGGUGCUCGAGUGGCGAACGGGUGAGUAACACGUGAGUAACCUGCCCGUGACUUUGGGAUAACUUCAGGAAACUGGGGCUAAUACAGGAUAGGAGCUGCUGCGGCAUGGUGGGGGUUGGAAAGUUUCGGCGGUUGGGGAUGGACUCGCGGCUUAUCAGCUUGUUGGUGGGGUAGUGGCUGACCAAGGCUUUGACGGGUAGCCGGCCUGAGAGGGUGACCGGCCACAUUGGGCCUGAGAUACGGCCCAGACUCCUACGGGAGGCAGCAGUGGGGAAUAUUGCACAAUGGGCGGAAGCCUGAUGCAGCAACGCCGCGUGCGGGAUGACGGCCUUCGGGUUGUAAACCGCUUUCGCCUGUGACGAAGCGUGAGUGACGGUAAUGGGUAAAGAAGCACCGGCUAACUACGUG